UCUUCAAUAGCUCAAUGGUAGAGCGGCCGGCUAUUAACCAAUUGAUCGUAAGUUCGAAUCCUACUUGGGGAG